rnacentral:rRNA from 1 species
AUUGAACGCUGGCGGCAGGCUUAACACAUGCAAGUCGAGCGGUAGCACAGGGGAGCUUGCUCCCUGGGUGACGAGCGGCGGACGGGUGAGUAAUGUCUGGGAAACUGCCUGAUGGAGGGGGAUAACUACUGGAAACGGUAGCUAAUACCGCAUAACGUCGCAAGACCAAAGAGGGGGACCUUCGGGCCUCUUGCCAUCAGAUGUGCCCAGAUGGGAUUAGCUAGUAGGUGGGGUAAUGGCUCACCUAGGCGACGAUCCCUAGCUGGUCUGAGAGGAUGACCAGCCACACUGGAACUGAGACACGGUCCAGACUCCUACGGGAGGCAGCAGUGGGGAAUAUUGCACAAUGGGCGCAAGCCUGAUGCAGCCAUGCCGCGUGUGUGAAGAAGGCCUUCGGGUUGUAAAGCACUUUCAGCGAGGAGGAAGGUGGUGAGCUUAAUGCGUUCAUCAAUGGACGUGACUCGCAGAAGAAGCACCGGCGAACUCCGU